GAUGAACGCUGGCGGCGUGCCUAAUACAUGCAAGUCGAGCGAACGCACCGGAAGCAUGCUUCCAUGAUGUUAGAGGGGGACGGGUGAGUCACACGUGGUUAAACUAACUAUACGAAUGGGAUACUAAUGGGAAAUCGGGUCUACUACCGAAUAAUUUUUUGCAUCGGAUGGUUCAAACGUGGAAGAAGCUCUUUGUGACGCUUAAAGAUGGCUAAGGCCGUGAUUCGCUAGUUGGUAAGGGAAAGGCUUACCAAGGCAACGAUGCAUAGACGACCUGAGAGGGUGAUCGGCUACACUGUAACUGAGACACGGUCCAGACACCUACAGGAGGAAGCAGUAGGGAAUCUUACGCAAUGGACGAGUGCCGAACGUAGCAACGCCGCGUGAGUCAUGAUGGUCUACUGAUCGGAAAGCGCUGAUAUUAGGGAAGAACAAAUGUGUUAGUAACUGUGCUCAUCAUGACGGUACCGAAACAAAAAGCCACGGCUAACUCCGUG
rnacentral:rRNA from 1 species